rnacentral:rRNA from 1 species
GUGGCGGGUGGAAAGUUUUUCGGUCGGGGAUGGGCUCGCGGCCUAUCAGCUAGUUGGUGGGGUAAAGGCCUACCAAGGCGAUUACGGGUAGCCGGCCUGAGAGGGCGACCGGCCACACUGGGACUGAGACACGGCCCAGACUCCUGCGGGAGGCAGCAGUGGGGAAUAUUGCGCAAUGGGCGAAAGCCUGACGCAGCGACGCCGCGUGGGGGAUGACGGCCUUCGGGUUGCAAACCUCUUUUACCACCAACGCAGGCUCCCAGUUCUCUGGGGGUUGACGGUAGGUGGGGAAUAAGGACCGGCUAACUACGUGCCAGCAGCCGCGGUAAUACGUAGGGUCCGAGCGUUGUCCGGAAUUAUUGGGCGUAAAGAGCUCGUAGGCGGCGUGUCGCGUCUGCUGUGAAAGACCGGGGCUUAACUCCGGUUCUGCAGUGGAUACGGGCAUGCUAGAGGUAGGUAGGGGAGACUGGAAUUCCUGGUGUAGCGGUGAAAUGCGCAGAUAUCAGGAGGAACACCGGUGGCGAAGGCGGGUCUCUGGGCCUUACCUGACGCUGAGGAGCGAAAGCAUGGGGAGCGAACAGGAUUAGAUACCCUGGUAGUCCAUGCCGUAAACGUUGGGCGCUAGGUGUGGGGACUUUCCACGGUUUCCGCGCCGUAGCUAACGCAUUAAGCGCCCCGCCUGGGGAGUACGGCCGCAAGGCUAAAACUCAAAGGAAUUGACGGGGGCCCGCACAAGCGGCGGAGCAUGUUGCUUAAUUCGACGCAACGCGAAGAACCUUACCAAGGUUUGACAUCACCCGUGGACCUGCAGAGAUGUGGGGUCAUUUAGUUGGUGGGUGACAGGUGGUGCAUGGCUGUCGUCAGCUCGUGUCGUGAGAUGUUGGGUUAAGUCCCGCAACGAGCGCAACCCUUAUUCCAUGUUGCCAGCACGUAGUGGUGGGGACUCAUGGGAGACUGCCGGGGUCAACUCGGAGGAAGGUGGGGACGACGUCAAGUCAUCAUGCCCCUUAUGUCUUGGGCUGCAAACAUGCUACAAUGGCCGGUACAAUGGGCGUGCGAUACCGUAAGGUGGAGCGAAUCCCUAAAAGCCGGUCUCAGUUCGGAUUGGGGUCUGCAACUCGACCCCAUGAAGGUGGAGUCGCUAGUAAUCGCGGAUCAGCAACGCCGCGGUGAAUACGUUCCCGGGCCUUGUACACACCGCCCGUCACGUCAUGAAAGUCGGCAACACCCGAAACUUGUGGCCUAACCCUUCGGGGAGGGAA